rnacentral:rRNA from 1 species
CGGGUGCACUGAUCCAGCCGGGCCUUUCCCUCUGUGGAACCCCAUGGCCUUCACUGGCUGUGGUGGGGAAACAGGACUUUUACUUUGAAAAAAUUAGAGUGCUCCAGGCAGGCCUAUGCUCGAAUACAUUAGCAUGGAAUAAUAGAAUAGGACGUGUGGUUCUAUUUUGUUGGUUUCUAGGACCGCCGUAAUGAUUAAUAGGGACAGUCGGGGGCAUCAGUAUUCAAUUGUCAGAGGUGAAAUUCUUGGAUCUAUUGAAGACUAACUACUGCGAAAGCAUUUGCCAAGGAUGUUUUCAUUGAUAAGGAACGAAAGUUAGGGGAUCGAAGACGAUCAGAUACCGUCGUAGUCUUAACUAUAAACUAUGCCGACUAGGGAUCGGACGAUGUUAUUCUUUGACGCGUUCGGCACCUUUCGAGAAAUCAAAGUGCUUGGGCUCCAGGGGGAGUAUGGUCGCAAGGCUGAAACUUAAAGAAAUUGACGGAAGGGCACCACCAGGGGUGGAACCUGCGGCUUAAUUUGACUCAACACGGGGAAACUCACCAGGUCCAGACACAGUGAGGAUUGACAGAUUGAGAGCUCUUUCUUGAUUCUGUGGGUGGUGGUGCAUGGCCGUUCUUAGUUGGUGGAGUGAUUUGUCUGCUUAAUUGUGAUAACGAACGAGACCUUAACCUGCUAAAUAGCCCGUACUGCUUUGGCAGUUCGCCGGCUUCUUAGAGGGACUAUCGG